UUUAUCACCGAAAGAUGCUGCAGUUAGUGAGCCGGGUGGGAGAUCUGAGAUGCUAUCAUCAGCCAAGGCUGUCCAGAUUUAGACGUGAACGCUGGGCUAUCAUCAGCUUCGGAGAUGUGGAAAUCUGGACAUCUAAGACUGGAGGUAGCAGUGGGCAGGAAGAAACUGACACGCACCCUCUCUCUUCUUCCUCCCACAGUCCCAUGGAAGGGGAAGAGCUUGUAGCUGUGCUGACGCAGACACAGAGGAGUCCAAGCUGGGGGGUUUACUGGAAAAGGAAACCCCAGAAAAAUCCUGACCCAUCUUACAUCCUUUAAAGCUGCAAGCGUGGCUACCAUCCAGAUCCUGCCUGUGAAGCAUGGCGAAGAGGGGACUGUCAUGAUGGAGAGACCGCCAACCCAGAUGCAGCAUUUGCUGAACUUGGUUCCAUCUUCCUGGCAUCUGGAACCCCCUGGAGGAGACCACACUCCAUCCUGGGACACAAUGCGCAGGACCCACUCUUUGGCGAUGGUGGUGGCUGUGGGAAUUCUGGGAUGGAAGAUAGCAGCUCUAGAGUGAAUACGCAGGAAGGUGUGGGGAGGACUUGAAAGGCUUUAUUAGGGACUUCCGCCUGCAGUCACAGAGAGGCUUUCUCUGGAGUGAUCUCUGGGGACAUGAUUCAGUGACCCUCAGCUGCUCUUGGUGCCACCGUGGGAAGUGAAGAGGACGGUGAGGGAAUGGCUUUGGAGACAGUGGCGGCCACUGAACAAGGACAUAAAAUGUUAGUGGAUGUGCUCUUAGGAACGGUAUAUGCCAAGGGGGAUGUGAGCUUCUCUGGUUAUUCAGAGGAGCAACAGUUGUGUGGCUCCCCAGAGGUGGUGGAUAUUCAGUGGCCAUCAGAGUAGAACGAUGGACAGAAACGGAGAAACAACAAUCGGCGUCCUGCACCCUGAGGACACCCUGAGGAUGCACCCUGAGAAACACAUCCCUCUGCAAAUGUCUGAGAGUGUCCUGCUGCAAACCUCGGUGGUGGGAGUCAGUUUUACUUAGAGCAGCCAAGAGAUCCAGGACACAGCUCUCUGAGGCAGCCGCUGACACACCACACUGUUAACACAAUAAAGGCAUUUGUUACACAGUUGGGACUCAAGUGUUGUCGUCACCACGAGGACACCAAGGCCCAGAAAGGGUAAGUCGCUUGCAUGCACCAACUCAGCUGGUGAG